AUAGGAAUCUACCUAGUAGUACGGAAUAAUUGUUGGAAACGGCAACUAAUACCGUAUACGCCCUACGGGGGAAAAAUUUAUUGCUAUUAGAUGAGCCUAUAUUAGAUUAGUUAGUUGGUGAGGUAAAGGCUUACCAAGACAAUGAUCUAUAGCUGAUCUGAGAGGAUGAUCAGCCACACUGGAACUGAGAUACGGUCCAGACUCCUACGGGAGGCAGCAGUGGGGAAUAUUGGACAAUGGGCGAAAGCCUAAUCCAGCCAUGCCGCAUGAGUGAAGAAGGCCUUCGGGUUGUAAAGCUCUUUUAGUGAGGAAGAUAAUGACGGUACUCACAGAAGAAGUCCUGGCUAACUCCGUGCCAGCAGCCGCGGUAAUACGGAGAGGGCUAGCGUUAUUCGGAAUCAUUGGGCGUAAAGGGCGCGUAGGCGGGUUAGUAAGUUAAAAGUGAAAUCCCAAGGNUCAACCUUGGAACUGCUUUUAAAACUGCUAGUCUAGAGAUUGAAAGANGAUAGAGGAAUUCCUAGUGUAGAGAUGAAAUUCGUAAAUAUUANGAGGAACACCAGUGGCGAAG
rnacentral:rRNA from 2 species